AGUGGGGAAUAUUGGACAAUGGGCGAAAGCCUGAUCCAGCAAUACCGCGUGUGUGAAGAAGGUCUGAGGGUUGUAAAGCACUUUCAAUAGGAAGGAAUACCUGUCGGUUAAUACCCGGUAGACUGACAUUACCUAUACAAGAAGCACCGGCUAACUCCGUGCCAGCAGCCGCGGUAAUACGGAGGGUGCAAGCGUUAAUCGGAAUUACUGGGCGUAAAGCGUGCGUAGGCGGUUGUUUAAGUCAGAUGUGAAAGCCCUGGGCUUAACCUGGGAACUGCAUUUGAUACUGGGCAACUAGAGUUUAGUAGAGGGGAGUGGAAUUUCAGGUGUAGCGGUGAAAUGCGUAGAGAUCUGAAGGAACACCAGUGGCGAAGGCGGCUCCCUGGACUAAAACUGACGCUGAGGUACGAAAGCGUGGGUAGCAAACAGGAUUAGAUACCCUGGUAGUCCACGCCGUAAACGAUGUCAACUAACUGUUGGGUUCUUAAAGAACUUAGUAGUGGAGCUAACGUAUUAAGUUGACCGCCUGGGGAGUACGGCCGCAAGGCUAAAACUCAAAUGAAUUGACGGGGGCCCGCACAAGCGGUGGAGCAUGUGGUUUAAUUCGAUGCAACGCGAAGAACCUUACCUACCCUUGACAUCCAGAGAAUCUGUUAGAGAUAGCGGAGUGCCUUCGGGAACUCUGAGACAGGUGCUGCAUGGCUGUCGUCAGCUCGUGUUGUGAAAUGUUGGGUUAAGUCCCGUAACGAGCGCAACCCUUAUCCUUAGUUGCCAGCGGGUCAUGCCGGGAACUCUAGGGAGACUGCCGGUGAUAAACCGGAGGAAGGUGGGGACGACGUCAAGUCAUCAUGGCCCUUAUGGGUAGGGCUACACACGUGCUACAAUGGCCGGUACAGAGGGCUGCGAACUCGCGAGAGUAAGCGAAUCCCAAAAAGCCGGUCCCAGUCCGGAUCGCAGUCUGCAACUCGACUGCGUGAAGUCGGAAUCGCUAGUAAUCGCGGAUCAGAAUGCCGCGGUGAAUACGUUCCCGGGCCUUGUACACACCGCCCGUCACACCAUGGGAGUGGGUUGCAAAAGAAGUAGGUAGUUUAACCUUCGGGAGGGCGCUUACCACUUUGUGAUUCAUGACUGGGGUG
rnacentral:rRNA from 1 species